GCCGGCACGUUUACUUUGAACAAAUUAGAGUGCUUAAAGCAGGCUGGUGUCCGCCUGAAUACUGUGUGCAUGGAAUAAUGGAAUAGGACCUCGGUUCUAUUUUGUUGGUUUUCGGAACCCGAGGUAAUGAUUAAUAGGGACAGGCGGGGGCAUUCGUAUUGCGGCGUUAGAGGUGAAAUUCUUGGAUCGUCGCAAGACGAACCUAAGCGAAAGCAUUUGCCAAGUAUGUCCUCGUUAAUCAAGAACGAAAGUUAGAGGUUCGAAGGCGAUCAGAUACCGCCCUAGUUCUAACCAUAAACGAUGCCAGCCAGCGAUCCGCCGAAGUUCCUCCGAUGACUCGGCGGGCAGCUUCCGGGAAACCAAAGCUUUUGGGUUCCGGGGGAAGUAUGGUUGCAAAGCUGAAACUUAAAGGAAUUGACGGAAGGGCACCACCAGGAGUGGAGCCUGCGGCUUAAUUUGACUCAACACGGGAAACCUCACCAGGCCCGGACACCGGAAGGAUUGACAGAUUGAGAGCUCUUUCUUG
rnacentral:rRNA from 1 species